UCAGUUUCACUUCAGCCAUUCCUAGCUGGACGUCGGGGGCUGUCCCGGGGUGAAAACUAAACAGAAAAAGGCGGGGAUAGUUUCUUUGUGUAGGCAGCAACGUGAAGAAAACAAACGUACCCGGGAACACGGUGCAGGGCGAGGAGACGGAACGAGGUCGGCACAUGAAGUUAGCAGACAGUUAGCAUGGACUCUACAGGACAAUAUUCCUAACCUGGAGGAAUUCUUUCCAUCUGUGGACACUUCCGGACUACAGGAAUAUUAAUAAGACAGGAAAGGACGGGGACUGGAGGUUUAGGACAGACUCCAGCUCCUCUGUGGGACGAGACCCUUCUGACUUCAGGACGUCCGUCUGAAUUAGUUCCCCCUGAAGAACAAGAAUGAGUUCUCCACAAAAGAAACAGAGAGGAGGAGAGGUACCCAAACGUCACCA